rnacentral:rRNA from 1 species
CUACGGGCGGCAGCAGUGAGGAAUAUUGCGCAAUGGAGGCAACCCUGACGCAGCCAUGCCGCGUGCAGGAAGAAGGCCUUAUGGGUCGUAAACUGCUUUUAUUUAGGAAUAAACCCCCGAACGUGUUCGGGGCUGAAGGUACUAAACGAAUAAGCACCGGCUAACUCCGUGCCAGCAGCCGCGGUAAUACGGAGGGUGCAAGCGUUAUCCGGAUUUAUUGGGUUUAAAGGGUGCGCAGGCGGACUAUUAAGUCAGUGGUGAAAUCCCGGGGCUCAACUCCGGAACUGCCAUUGAUACUGAUAGUCUUGAGUUUGGUUGAAGUGGGCGGAAUGUAGCAUGUAGCGGUGAAAUGCAUAGAUAUGCUACAGAACACCAAUCGCGAAGGCAGCUCACUAAGCCAAAACUGACGCUCAUGCACGAAAGCGUGGGGAUCAAACAGGAUUAGAUACCCUAGUAGUC